CUAUGUCGGCGACCGGCGCACGGGUGCGUAACGCGUAUGCAACCUACCCAUUACAGGGGGAUAACACUGAGAAAUCGGUACUAAUACCCCAUAACAUCCAGGGAGGCAUCUUCUUGGGUUGAAACCUCCGGUGGUAAUGGAUGGGCAUGCGUUGUAUUAGUUAGUUGGUGGGGUAACGGCUCACCAAGACAACGAUACAUAGGGGGACUGAGAGGUUAACCCCCCACAUUGGUACUGAGACACGGACCAAACUCCUACGGAAGGCAGCAG
rnacentral:rRNA from 1 species